UUAAGGUUGCACCUCCGCCUCGGGCUUCGGCCUUUGCCCGUCAAAAAAAAAGAUUAGUCAAAAAUAAAUUGAAGAAAUCACGAAAGAGCAAAUUUGUCAUUUCUUCCUUGAAGUCAUCUCUGAAGAGUAUAAAGCGAAGUAGCAUUAUGAAGUUCAAGCGAAAGACUUCCUGUUCACGCAGAAGAUCACCUGCUUUAAGCGAAGGUUUCGUUACCUAUUUGCGUGAGCGCCGACAAAACAAUUCAAAUGUGGCAACGAUCCUUUCGAUCCAAAAUGGUGCCAGAGAAUGGAUGAAUCUUUCUGAAGAGCAUAAGGAGCAAAUGCGUGCGAAGGCACAGAAACGAAAGCUGAGACAUCGAUGAAAUUUAAAUGGCCCUAUUGAUGAUGAUGAUCCGGUUUUAAAUUAACCAUCCCGCUGGCCUUUUAUCUGAAAUCCUAAAAGUAUAUAGGAAUCCUAAUAAGAAUAGUAAAGAAGUAAAGUAAUAUGUAAUAAGAAAGUAAUAAGAAAGAAGUAAAUCCUAAUAAGAGUAUAACCUUUUGAAAACCAUUUGAAAUAAAUAAAAUGUAUAUGAUUUAGUUUUCCUAAGCUAAUCAAGAAUAUUAUUGUAAA